rnacentral:lncRNA from 1 species
AAUAUACAGCAAACUACGAAGACUUACGUUCAAAAUAAAAUCUGUUUACCAAACUAAAACCAUGAGCUCAAAAAAACUUGGACGACCUGUGAAAGUUUUAAACAAAACUCGUGUUUAUAGUGGAAGAUUUGCUGGAUGAGCCUCUGGUUUACCCGUAAGCGAUCUACCAACUUAUAAACAGGUCAUUCAAUACGGUUACAAGGUUGAGAAAGAAUUGUUUAAUGGACAGAAACUUGACUCUGUAUCAAUCGUAACUAAAGUCAAUAGUGACUUGCAACAGCUUUGGUGUAGGGUUAAUCCAAAUCUACCUCUGAUAAAAGAUAAACCAUUGAAAAAUAAAAUAUCAAGAACAUUUUUAAAGGUGUUGUCUGCAGAACGAACUUAAUCUAAAAACCAUAAGUCCAGUAUAAGCUGGCUAGAAAAGAAACUGGAAACAUUGUUGUCUGUUUGCCGGUGCGAUCUUCCAAUUAUUGAUGAUUGUCAUGAUAGACGAAUUGGAUGUCGGAAAAGUAAUUGCACAAUAAAACACAUAGUUUGUCUCUGUGAGGAAAGUAG